UACGUAGGGGGCAAGCGUUGUCCGGAAUCAUUGGGCGUAAAGAGCGCGUAGGCGGUCCGGUAAGUCCGCUCUGAAAGUCCGGGGCUCAACCCCGGGAGGCGGGCGGAUACUGUCGGGCUAGAGUCCGGAAGAGGCGAGUGGAAUUCCUGGUGUAGCGGUGAAAUGCGUAGAUAUCGGAAGGAACACCAGUGGCGAAAGCGGCUUCCUGGUCCAGCACCGACGUUCAGGCACGAAAGCGUGGGGAGCAAACAGG
rnacentral:rRNA from 1 species